rnacentral:ncRNA from 1 species
UUUCAUACCGGAGAACUAGGUAAUCUAACAAUUGUUAGAUUUUAAAAGGGAAGUUUGGUGAAAUUCCAACGCGGUCCCGCCACUGUAAGUGAAGAAAUUUUUCCAAAAGAAGUGCCACUGUUUAUGAAACGGGAAGGAUUAGGAAAAAUUGAUGAUUCACAAGCCAGGAGACCUGCCUAUUCUGACACACCAAA